AUCCUUCUGGUUCAUAUAGGUGAUGAAUGGGUUGGUCACUGGUCUUCAGUGAGAUGUGCUGCCUUUUAAUACCUUGUUACACAAAGGCACAUUACCCUUCUGAUA
ensembl:snoRNA small nucleolar RNA U13